CAGCAGCCGCGGUAAUACGUAGGGUGCGAGCGUUAAUCGGAAUUACUGGGCGUAAAGCGUGCGCAGGCGGCUUUGCAAGACAGAGGUGAAAUCCCCGGGCUCAACCUGGGAACUGCCUUUGUGACUGCAAGGCUAGAGUACGGCAGAGGGGGAUGGAAUUCCGCGUGUAGCAGUGAAAUGCGUAGAUAUGCGGAGGGACACCGAUGGCGAAGGCAAUCCCCUGGGCCUGUACUGACGCUCAUGCACGAAAGCGUGGGGAGCAAACAGGAUUAGAUACCCUGGUAGUCCACGCCCUAAACGAUGUCAACUGGUUGUUGGACGGCUUGCUGUUCAGUAACGAAGCUAACGCGUGAAGUUGACCGCCUGGGGAGUACGGCCGUAAGGUUGAAACUCAAAGAAAUUGACGG
rnacentral:rRNA from 1 species